GAUAGUGAUGGUAGUGCUCCAGUUUCCCUCUCUCUCCUGGUGGGGGACAGUGCUCCAGUUUCCCUCUCUCUCCUGGUGGAGGAUAGUGAUGAUAGUGCUCCAGUUUCCCUCUCUCUCCUGGUGGAGGAUAGUGAUGAUAUUUCCCUCUCUCUCCUGGUGGAGGAUAGUGAUGAUAGUGCUCCAGUUUCCCUCUCUCUCCCGGUGGAAGAUAGUGAUGAUAGUGCUCCAGUUUCCCUCUCUCUCCUGGUGGAGGAUAGUGAUGAUAGUGCUCCAGUUUCCCUCUCUCUCCUGGUGGAGGAUAGUGAUGAUAGUGCUCCAGUUUCCCUCUCUCUCCUGGUGGAGGAUAGUGAUGAUAGUGCUCCAGUUUCCCUCUCUCUCCUGGUGGAGAAUAGUGCUCCAGUUUCCCUCUCUCUCCUGGUGGAGAAUAGUGCUCCAGUUUCCCUCUAUCUCCUGGUGGAGGAUAGUGAUGAUAGUGCUCCAGUUUCCCUCUCUCUCCUGGUGGAGGAUAGUGAUGAUAGUGCUCCAGUUUCCCUCCCUCUCCUGGUGGAGGAUAAUGAUGAUAGUGCUCCAGUUUCCCUCUCUCUCCUGGUGGAGGAUAAUGAUGAUAGUGCUCCAGUUUCCCUCUCUCUCCUAGCCCUGUGUGUUCAUGAAGCACAGUCAUUUUCACUCAGCUAAGCCUUGAAACGGCCAAUCGAAGCCGAACACUUUGAAACGUUUAAAGAUUCUGACAGUGUGGUAAAGAACUACAACUGGGAAAUGUGAUAGAAAAUAGUGAUUCUGACCAAUUAGAUGUGUCGACGCCUCUGUGAGACAACAUUUCAUCGUCAUCAUCGUCAUCAUCGUCAUCACCACACCACAGUUUGUGCUGUCUUGCCAACUCCACCUAACUCAGGCUAGAAACAGAUCUGUAACUCAGGCUAGAAACAGAUCUGUAACUCAGGCUAGAAACAGAUCUGUAACUCAGGCUAGAAACAGAUCUGUAACUCAGGCUAGAAACAGAUCUGUAACUCAGGCUAGAAACAGAUCUGUAACUCAGGCUAGAAACAGAUCUGUAACUCAGGCUAGAAACAGAUCUGUAACUCAGGCUAGAAACAGAUCUGUAACUCAGGCUAGAAACAGACCUGUAACUCAGGCUAGAAACAGAUCUCUUAGAAGUGGACAGAAUAAGUGUCUCUCCCGCCGUAGAAACAAAAUGAUACAGAUCACGGGGAUCAACAGUGAAGUCCAGAGACUGAUGACACUAACAGGUUCGAAUGACACUGAUACCAACUCCAUUGUGAGUCUGAGGCAGUCCUGUUAUGGUGUUGUGACCAAUAGGCCUUAACCUCACUGUUGAUUUGAGUUGGAUGCUGUGUUCUGUUACUCUGUUCUGUUGCUUUUCUGUCAUUGACUAAGUAAAUGUUUCUCUUAUUAGUCACCCCUUGAAAAAAGCCCUUCUUACGCAACCCUUAUGUACUAUCGACAUAAAUUCUGCACCUGUCAUAUAUAUAUAUCUGUCAUAUAUACAGUUGAAGUCUGAAGUUUACAUACACCUUAGCCAAAUACAUUUAAACUCCGUUUUUCCACAAUUCCUGACAUUUAAUCCAAGUAAAAAUUCCCUGUCUUAGGUCAGUUAUGAUCAUCACUUUAUUUUAAGAAUGUGAAAUGUCAGAAUAAUAGUAGAGAGAAUUAUUUAUUUCAGCUUUUACUCCUUUCAUCACAUUCCUAGUGGGUCAGAAGUUUACAUACACUCAAUUAGAACUUGGUAGCAUUGCCUUAAAAUUGUUUAACUUGGGUCAAAUGUUUCGGGUAGCCUUCCACAAGCUUCCCACAAUAAGUUGGGUGAAUUUUGGCCCAUUCCUCCUGACAGAGCUGGUGUAACUGAGUCAGGUUUGUAGGCCUCCUUUCUUGCACACACUUUUUCAGUUCUGCCCACAAAUUUUCAAUAGGAUUGAGGUCAGGGUUUUGUGAUGGCCACUCCAAUACCUUGACUUUGUUGUCCUUAGGCCAUUUUGCCACAACUUUGGAAGUAUGCUUGGGGUCAUUGUCCAUUUGGAAGACCCAUUUGUGACCAAGCUUUAACUUCCUGACUGAUGUCUUGAGAUCUUGCUUCAAUAUAUCCACAUAAUUUUCCUCCCUCAUGAUGCCAUCUAUUUUGUGAAGUGUGAAAAACUGAGUUUAAAUGUAUUUGGCUAAGGUGUAUGUAAACCUCCGAUUUCAACUGUAUCUAACUCUGCACCCUCUGCUCUUUGUGUCGAUCCGUUUCUGUGUAUUUCCACGUGUGUGUUUUUUGGUCCAUCUCUGUCCUCCUUGAACCACGCUCGGUUUUGGAACAGAGACUGUUUUCAUGAUCCGUUACAAUGCUUUGAACCCACACAUGACCUCUGAACCCACACAUGGCUCUUUUCAUGGAUAACAGACCCUGUCGCCAUAAUUUUGACAGUAUUACAUAACUUGUUUGUGUUAGCAAUUGUUUAAUCCCUAUCGGUUUACAAAAAAAAAAACAUUGCAAUCGUUUGAGCCAUAGUCCCUGUUUCCUUUAAGUCUUCCUGGUCCAAUUAAAUUAGACAAAGUAGAAAAUGAUUGAUAUUGAUUUGCUGACGGUGUCACUGCAGUAACUUUUGAAAUGUGGUCAACUUCAUCGGUCUUGCCAGUCUGUGGGGUACAGUGGGUAAAUGUGGUAGUCAGUCAGCAGGUGGCAGUGUUGCCCUACACAUCCAGACACUCAAUGAUGACCUGUGGAUGGCAUCCAGUCUGGUGUGUAGUUGUGUUGUGUUGUGGCUCUGCUAUAGCCUGUUCUCAGAUCUGCGUGUGUUAUCUAUAGCCAACUCUAUAGCCAACUUUUCUAUGGUCAUUAUCAUGCCUGUAUUCAGAAAGCAUCUCAGAGUACAGUAAAAAAAAAAAAAAGAAAAUGUAUGAAAUGAAAUUGUAUGAAAUGUAUGUAUUCACUACUGUAAGUCGCUCUGGAUAAGAGCGUCUGCUAAAUGACUAAAAAAAAUAUUUACAAAAAAAAAUGUACAAAAUGUACAAGUGCUGAUCUAGGAUCACGUCCCCACCCCGUCCAUAUAAUCUUAUUCAUUAUGAUCUUAAAAGGCAAAGCUGAUCCUAUAUCAGCCCUCUUACUCUGAGAUUUCGUGGAUAUAGGCCCUGGUCUUAUCUUAAGCUGCUUGAGCUGCAGGCCUGACA
rnacentral:lncRNA from 1 species